UGCUCCACAUUAUUCUGCCCAUGAUCUCCCUAAGCGGUUACCGAACUCUAAAAGUGGCGGUUCAUAGCAGUUCCACACCUUCUCUUCUAUUCAGAAGCAGUUAUCACCGGUUAGUUUCGUUUUCCCUUAAAUCUCUGGACGUCCCAAACUGCUUUUGAGAGGUUAUCACAGGCAGUUUUAGCAAGUCACAAAAUAACUCCCCACUAUCCCCUCUAUCUCCUCAUAAUCCUCAAAUUGUAGAAGAGGUUUUUAGGGUUCUCUAUAAAAACGUCACUCACACACAUUUCACUAUCUUUCUUCUCUCUCGUCAGAACCCCAUCAGACCACCACAUGUACAAACCCUCUGGCGGUAUCUAACUUCGUGAAUCACUCCACUAUCUAUUUGAUUCCUCCAAGUGUGCAAAAUCUAACCGAUUUGAACAAGAGAAGGAUUUGGGUGAUGAAACCCCAAAAAAGUUAUGGUAGUUCGUUCAAAUCUACACAUAUACAUCAAAGGCAAAGCUUUAGCAGCUGCAUCGACAACCGUGAAUGGGUCAAAUUGGAUUGGAUGUUAAAAUCGAUUUUUUUGGAAUUUGGAAGAUUCAUUUGAAGAACACUUGGGAGUCAAAAUGUUGGUGGCAAUUAGUUGACUGCAGGUCGUUAGCUUAAGUACAGUCGGUGCUUUCUUACUUAGAUCCUCAAGAUUUUGGUCUACUGUGGGGGCAGAGGGGGACUUAUGGAGUCGUAUUCAUUAUCUGUCCAAGAACAGCUCAAAACUUGACAGUGGUAUUUUUCAGAUUUUUUUUCUAGUUAACAUAUAAUUAUUUUUUUCUAUUUUUGGUCAUCACAUUUUUUAUGUAAUCCAACAACUGUAGUAGUUGGCAUCUCCAAUACCAUAGUUUAGAAUAUAAUCAAAUGAACUCCUUUCAUACCAUAACAAAUGAAGAUGAUGACAAAGUUGGAAGUUCAAUUGGUAAAGGUGGGUCUAUGAGAAGAAAACUACAGACAGAGACUGGCGCAUCUAUAAAAAUAGUUGAUCCGUCACCUGAUUUAGAUGAACGAGUGGUUAUAUCUGCACGUCAACCAGUUACCCAAACCACCUAACCCGCUCAUCAUGUCACCUCUAUCAGUUGUUACUAAUCGGCUUCUCUCAACCCUCUCUUUAUAGGAUGGUAAUAGAUAUUAUGCUUGAAGAGGUGCUCAUCUUACUUUUAAGCGUGCAGAGAAAGCCCGCACAUCGAUGAAUAGACUUCUAGGAAUGGUGGAAGCUUUAGCUGUGAUAAUAGUGGCAUAGGAUAAUGAAAGGGGUGUUGAGUUUACAUGACAAAUGUAAUAACUUGCUUCAAGCUGAUUUAUGAUAAAUUGGAUGGAUCGAGUAACAACUCAAACACAUGCACUAUUUGUAAGGAUAGAAAGGGGUUGGUUUAGGAAGACCCAAAAUAAUGUGUUCUAACUUCUAAAUUGUUAAGCUUUUAGAAACAAGAAACAACUAGGGUGUCUAUGAUUGCCAAGGUUAUAUUUGUUACAGUAUCAAACUUUUUCAACAAGAAAAUGUUAGAAAUUGACUCAAACACACGUCAACAGGUCAAAAUUAUUAUCUCUUUUGUUCAGCUUGUAUUGUACUGAACUGAACGGUUUUUAAAUUCUAAUAUGUCACGUUUAGGCUUGGCUUCUUUCAAUGCUUGAGGAAUACAAAAUCUUAAGACAACAAAGGAGAAAAGAAAGAGAUAAGAGGGUAUAUAAAAAAGGGGAAGAUUGUCAAUGAAUAGUUGAUGGCUGAAUAGGAAGCACUUUUUGUACAAAGUGCUAAAAAAGGGGGAAGAUUGUCAAUGGGUGGUUUAAGCAACAAAAGAUUAUCAUGUACAAUCAAUUGUGUAGCUUUAUAUGGUGUAAAUGGGUGCCCAUCAAAUGUAAUAUUAUGGCCUGGAGAGGCAACUUAGACAGGCUUCCUACAAGAGUCAAUUUAAGAAGAAGGAAUGUGGAUAUCCCCUCGGUCUUGUGUCCAUUAUGCGGCGACUACGAGGAGACGGUGGACCAUCUAUUCACUGCGUGCUCGGUGGCUUUACGGGUGUGGUCGGUUUUCAGUGAUUGGUGCAAUAUUCCGCCGCUUUUCUUUUUUGAGUUCAAAGACAUUUUAGAAAGUCACAAGCUGAUAAAGAGAGGCAAGAUGGCGAAGAAAAUCAUAUACGGGUUGGGAAUUAUAGCUUGUUGGUGUAUAUGGAAAGGCUGAAACGAUACGGUUUUUAAUCAAAGGAAAUGUAGCGCGAGUGACAUCAUUGGGGAGUUAAAAUCUAGGGGUUAUGAGUGGGUUAAAAACAGAUCUCCUUGUAAGUUUACUAUAUGGGAGGACUGGUGUAAAUAUCCCUUGUAUAUGUUGUAAUAUGUAUGCCCUUUGCCCGUUUGGGUCGGGGGUGUGUUUGUUUGUUUGGCCUUUUGCCCGUUUGGGUCGAAGGUUGUCUUAAUAAAGUUUAUUUUUCAAAAAA